rnacentral:rRNA from 1 species
AGAAUCAACGCUGGCGGCGCGCCUAACACAUGCAAGUCGAACGAGAAAGUGGAGCAAUCCAUGAGUAAAGUGGCGUACGGGUGAGUAACACGUGGAUAAUCUGCCCUUUAGUGGGGAAUACCGCUGGGAAACCGGCGACAAUACCGCAUAAGCUCGAGAGAGGAAAGCAGCAAUGCGCUGAAGGAGGAGUCCGCGGUCGAUUAGUUAGUUGGCGGGGUAAAGGCCCACCAAGACUGUGAUCGAUAGCCGGCCUGAGAGGGCACACGGCCACACUGGCACUGAAACACGGGCCAGACUCCUACGGGAGGCAGCAGUGGGGAAUCUUGCACAAUGGGGGAAACCCUGAUGCAGCGACGCCGCGUGAGCGAUGAAGCCCCUCGGGGUGUAAAGCUCUUUCGGCAGGGAAGAUUAUGACGGUACCUGCAAAAGCAGCUGCGGCUAACUACGUGCCAGCAGCCGCGGUAAUACGUAGGCAGCAAGCGUUGUUCGGAGUUACUGGGCGUAAAGGGUGUGUAGGCGGCUUUUUAAGUUUGGUGUGAAAUCUCCCGGCUCAACUGGGAGGGUGCGCCGAAUACUGAGAGGCUAGAGUGUGGGAGAGGAAAGUGGAAUUCCUGGUGUAGCGGUGAAAUGCGUAGAUAUCAGGAGGAACACCGGUGGUGUAAACGGCUUUCUGGACCAUAACUGACGCUGAGACACGAAAGCGUGGGUAGCAAACAGGAUUAGAUACCCUGGUAGUCCACGCCCUAAACGAUGCAUAUUUGGUGUGGGCCAUUCAUUUGGUCCGUGCCGGAGCUAACGCGUUAAAUAUGCCGCCUGGGGAGUACAGUCGCAAGGCUGAA